rnacentral:rRNA from 1 species
AGUGGCGAACGGGUGAGUAAUAUAUCGGAACGUACCGAGUAAUGGGGGAUAACUAAUCGAAAGAUUAGCUAAUACCGCAUAUUCUCUGAGGAGGAAAGCAGGGGACCUUCGGGCCUUGCGUUAUUCGAGCGGCCGAUAUCUGAUUAGCUAGUUGGUGGGGUAAAGGCCUACCAAGGCGACGAUCAGUAGCGGGUCUGAGAGGAUGAUCCGCCACACUGGGACUGAGACACGGCCCAGACUCCUACGGGAGGCAGCAGUGGGGAAUUUUGGACAAUGGGCGCAAGCCUGAUCCAGCCAUGCCGCGUGUCUGAAGAAGGCCUUCGGGUUGUAAAGGACUUUUGUCAGGGAAGAAAAGGCUGUUGCUAAUAUCGACAGCUGAUGACGGUACCUGAAGAAUAAGCACCGGCUAACUACGUGCCAGCAGCCGCGGUAAUACGUAGGGUGCGAGCGUUAAUCGGAAUUACUGGGCGUAAAGCGAGCGCAGACGGUUACUUAAGCAGGAUGUGAAAUCCCCGGGCUCAACCUGGGAACUGCGUUCUGAACUGGGUGACUAGAGUGUGUCAGAGGGAGGUAGAGUUCCACGUGUAGCAGUGAAAUGCGUAGAGAUGUGGAGGAAUACCGAUGGCGAAGGCAGCCUCCUGGGAUAACACUGACGUUCAUGCUCGAAAGCGUGGGUAGCAAACAGGAUUAGAUACCCUGGUAGUCCACGCCCUAAACGAUGUCAAUUAGCUGUUGGGCAACUUGAUUGCUUA